rnacentral:lncRNA from 1 species
UGGUUAUCCCCUUUGGUUAUCCCCUUUGGUUAUCCCCUUUGGUUAUCCCCUUUGGUUAUCCCCUAAAGGGGAACUAAAGGUUCCCCUUUAGUUCAUCCCCGAAGGGGAACCCCUUCUUCCCCUAAAGGGGACUUCUUCCCCUAAAGGGGAACCCCUUUAGUUCCCCUAAAGGGGAUGAACUAAAGUUCCCCUUUAGUUCUUCCCCUUUAGGGGAACCCCUUCUUCCCCUUUAGGGGACUCUGUCUUCUUUAGGGGAAGAAGUUCCCCUUCGGGGAGGAACACCCCUUUGGUUCAUCCCCUUUAGGGGAACUAAAGAAGACGAAUNAAAGGGGAACUAAAGUUCCCCUUUAGGGGAAGACUUCAUCCCCUAAAGGGGAACUAAAGGGGUUCUUCCCCUAAAGGGGAACUUUAGUUCAUCCCCUAAAGGGGAACUUUAGUUCCCCUUUAGGGGAAGAAGAAGAACACUAAAGGGGAUGAAGACAACCUUUGGUUCCCCCUUUGGUUCAUCCCCUAAAGGGGGAACUAAAGGGGUUCCCCUUUAGUUCUUCAUCCCCUAAAGGGGAACCAAAAUCUUCCCCUAAAGGGGAAAAACACUAAAGGGGAUGAAGACAACCUUUGGUUCCCCGAGGGGGCCGAUGUUUGUUCCCCUAAAGGGGAAGCGCUUGGCCGUUAGCGAAAGCGUCGGGUAGUUGGCUCCGCCGAUCUUAACGCGUCGUUCGAGGCUUUGUUUAUAACUUAUCGUGAAUAUGGUUAAACUUUAUUAAAUUCAAAUUCAUGUGAGAUUCGUUAAGCUACUACUCGCGGGGCUUCGCCCUAAAAACAUUUUACGCAGCACCUUUAUUAUAGGGCCACGUCGUUAAUAAUUUCCCUUCGGGAAACAUAUGAACGACAGGCCGAAGGCAUGGAGUUGUUAGUUCUCUAGCCCUUCCAUCCCCUUUAGUUCAUCCCCGAAGGGGAACACAUCCCCUUUAGUGUUCUUCUUCUUCUUCCCCUUCGUUU